UUGGCUGUUGCCAGUCUCUCUAUGUACGAGCCAUUUGGAUCUCAAUUUCUAUAAUUUCACAAUUUAAAAAAAAAAAAUUCAAGAGAAAAAGGAAGAAGGGAAAAUCCUUAAAAACUGGUCUCACGGUCUCACCCACCCCUCCCCAAACGACCGAAUUCUCUUUUUCGUUUCUUCUAGAUAGUUGUGAAUCUCCACUCCUGAGGUUGAUCUAUGCGGGAGGAGGUGGUGGGGGCAUUCAUUUUGUUGAAUUUUGUCGUUUUGUGAUUCUGUGGAAUUGUGAUUUUUUGGCAUUUGUUUGGAUUGUGGAAAUUUGAGUGAGGAGAUUGUUGAUCUGUAAUCAGGGACUAUAGCGCAGGCUUCAUGAUCCGAUUCUUGUUUGCUUAAUUAUGUAAUUUCGAUCUGGUGGUGGAAGAUUAACCAGCCUGGGUGUGUCAAAGGCUUGUAAGAAUUGUUUGUAUGUUAUGAUAGGUUAUGGUUUUUGCGGUCGUUGGAGAUUUUGGUUAGAAUAAUAGGUUAUUUUGUGAGACUUUUAACUUGACUGUUAAAAGGAUUUUGCACAAUUUGGACAUGAGAAGCUCUUGGAUCAAUAAAUUAUCUGUCAUUCUUGGUCCUAGACCGCCGGUCAGCUGGUUACUAUUGUGCCUCAUUAGCGUCCUUGCACUAAUAGCAGUCUUAGGUUCAUCUUCUUCAAAUAGCUUUGAGUCUGUGACAUCCAUUCCGGUACCUGACAUCUAUACAAACUAUAGACGGCUAAAGGAGCAAGCGGCAAUUGAUUAUUUGGAGUUGAGGACUCUGUCUUUGGGAGUCAGUCGGCAAAGGGAGCUUGGUCUUUGUGGCAAAGAACAAGAAAAUUAUGUACCAUGCUACAAUGUUUCUGCAAAUUUGUUAGCUGGGUUUAAGGAUGGAGAGGAGUUUGAUCGCCACUGUGAACUGUCACGAGAUGGACAGCGGUGUUUGGUUCGUCCGCCCAAGGACUAUAAGAUCCCUUUGAGGUGGCCAGCUGGUAGAGAUGUAAUAUGGAGUGGGAAUGUAAAAAUAACCAAAGAUCAGUUUCUUUCUUCUGGAAGCAUGACGAAAAGGUUGAUGUUGCUUGAAGAGAAUCAAAUUGCUUUCCACUCUGAGGAUGGAUUGAACUUUGAUGGCGUCAAAGAAUAUUCUCGCCAAAUUGCGGAAAUGAUAGGGUUGGGAAGUGACUCUGAAUUUCUUCAAGCUGGUGUACGGACUGUACUAGAUAUUGGCUGCGGGUUUGGCAGCUUUGCAGCUCAUUUAGUCUCGCUAAAGUUAAUGGCUGUUUGUAUUGCGGAGUAUGAGGCAACUGGAAGCCAAGUUCAAUUGGCCCUUGAGAGAGGCCUUCCAGCAAUGAUUGGCAAUUUCAUUUCGAGACAACUUCCUUAUCCAUCAUUGUCUUUUGACAUGGUUCAUUGUGCUCAGUGUGGUAUCAUUUGGGACAAGAGAGAUGGGAUGUUCCUCAUAGAAGUGGACCGGGUGCUCAAGCCUGGCGGUUACUUUGUUCUAACCUCGCCCACAAGCAAGCCACGUGGAAGUUCAUCAAGUACAAAGAAGGGAAGUAUGUUAACACCUAUUGAAGAACUCACCCAAAGAAUCUGUUGGAGUCUUCUAGCUCAGCAAGAUGAGACUUUAAUUUGGCAGAAAACUAUGGAUGUUCAUUGCUAUACAUCUCGCAAGCAGGGUGCUGUACCACUUUGUAAAGAAGAGCAUGACACUCAAUCAUAUUAUCAGCCCCUCAUACCAUGUAUCAGUGGGACCACCAGCAAACGCUGGAUUCCUAUUCAGAACAGGUCCUCUGGUUCCCAUUUGAGCUCAGUUGAGCUUGAAGUCCAUGGAGUUCAUCCUGACGAUUACUUUGAAGACUCAGAGUUUUGGAGAUCCUCUUUAAGAAACUAUUGGUCUUUGCUUACACCUUUAAUUUUCUCAGACCAUCCAAAGAGGCCAGGGGAUGAAGAUCCAUUACCUCCAUUUAAUAUGAUCAGGAAUGUGAUGGACAUGAAUGCUCGUUAUGGUGGUUUAAAUGCUGCAUUUCUGGAAGCAAAAAGAUCAGUAUGGGUUAUGAAUGUUGUGCCUACCAGGACCCAAAACACCCUUCCUUUAAUUCUUUAUCAAGGUUUUGCUGGUGUUUUGCAUGACUGGUGUGAACCCUUCCCUACGUACCCUCGAACAUAUGACAUGCUUCAUGCAAAUGGGCUUCUCUCUCACCUCACUUCAGAGGGGUGCAACAUAAUGAAUUUAUUGUUGGAAAUGGAUCGAAUUCUCCGCCCUGAGGGAUGGAUUGUUCUUUCUGAUAACAUGGUAGCUAUAGAGAAGGCACGUGCGCUUGCUACACAGAUCCGCUGGGAAGCAAGGGUAAUUGAUCUCCAGAAAGGCACUGACCAGCGGCUACUUGUUUGCCAAAAGCCAUUCUUGAAAAAAUGAUUGGUUCAGCAUCAGGUGAUCUCACCAUUGCGGAAGCUCCAUUUUUUUUAGCACUGCGCGUGAAUCAUCUAUCUUGACGACAUCUUCAUGUAAUAUUAUCUGCUUGAGACAACAGGGACUUGAAGAUGGCCACAACUGAACCAGAGGUAUGUGGAAGCUGUAGAUUAUAAGAAUAGUUGCUGCACAAGUAGAUGCAGUUCAUUUUUUUGUCAAGGGCCUUUGUAGGAAUUCAUUCAUCAAUUUAAAUUUUUUUUUCCUUUUCUUUUUUUAUUUGGUUUCUUUAUUUCCUUAAUGAUUUGAUAUUGGAAUCAGUCUUUGUAUGAAACAAUUAAUGUUGUUGAAAGAAUGGAUGCUAUGCAGCAGGAAAAGUGUAAGAAUUUAGUGUAUGAUUCUUAUCCCA